rnacentral:rRNA from 1 species
AUGAGAUCUCACCCUCUCAUCGAUUUUUUCAUACCAACCAUCGACAGCGAGCACGGCAUAUGCUACACCCAUCCUGAGAAACUUCCAGGUAUCACACUGAGUGGCCUAUGCAAGCAUUUCUUCCAGUGCAAUUCCAGGGCGUUCAAAAGGGGCACGUGGACGCGUCUCAAGAUACAGUCAGAGUGCGGCAUGCACGCGAUGUGGCACAAGACCGGCAAUACCUUGCCGGUUAUGGUCAAUGGCCGGCAGACGGGCAGCAAAAAGGUUCUGGUGCUGCACACCAACAAGAACUUCGACCAUUCCCGCAAAAAAAAAGAACUUCGACCAGCAGAGGACCAACUGGGUGAUGCACCAGUACCACCUAGGGGACCUGGAGCAAGAGAAGGAGCGGGAGCUGGUCCUCUGCAAGAUUUUCUACCAGACCAACACUAG